rnacentral:rRNA from 1 species
UUUGAUCCUGGCUCAGGAUGAACGCUGACAGAAUGCUUAACACAUGCAAGUCUACUUGAUCCUUCGGGUGAAGGUGGCGGACGGGUGAGUAACGCGUAAAGAACUUGCCUUACAGACUGGGACAACAUUUGGAAACGAAUGCUAAUACCGGAUAUUAUGAUUGGGUCGCAUGAUCUGGUUAUGAAAGCUAUAUGCGCUGUGAGAGAGCUUUGCGUCCCAUUAGUUAGUUGGUGAGGUAACGGCUCACCAAGACGAUGAUGGGUAGCCGGCCUGAGAGGGUGAACGGCCACAAGGGGACUGAGACACGGCCCUUACUCCUACGGGAGGCAGCAGUGGGGAAUAUUGGACAAUGGACCAAAAGUCUGAUCCAGCAAUUCUGUGUGCACGAUGAAGUUUUUCGGAAUGUAAAGUGCUUUCAGUUGGGAAGAAGUCAGUGACGGUACCAACAGAAGAAGCGACGGCUAAAUACGUGCCAGCAGCCGCGGUAAUACGUAUGUCGCAAGCGUUAUCCGGAUUUAUUGGGCGUAAAGCGCGUCUAGGCGGCUUAGUAAGUCUGAUGUGAAAAUGCGGGGCUCAACCCCGUAUUGCGUUGGAAACUGCUAAAUUAGAGUACUGGAGAGGUAGGCGGAACUACAAGUGUAGAGGUGAAAUUCGUAGAUAUUUGUAGGAAUGCCGAUGGGGAAGCCAGCCUACUGGACAGAUACUGACGCUAAAGCGCGAAAGCGUGGGUAGCAAACAGGAUUAGAUACCCUGGUAGUCCACGCCGUAAACGAUGAUUACUAGGUGUUGGGGGGUCGAACCUCAGUG